rnacentral:lncRNA from 1 species
CAGGGUGGUUCUAGGAAUAGACACCUUCCUAUGCGGGAUGCACUUAGCGUGCACUUAAGCACCUGGUGAAUGCUGGUCACGUUACUCUCCUGUAGGUCAAGGGGGAGAAUCAAGGCCAGGUGAGUCGAAGUGUUCAGAUCUGUCCUUAAGAUGCGUACGUUUUAUUUGCACAUUACAGCCCAAGUUACAAAAAUACACAGGGAACAUGCCAGCUCCAGGAAGUGGCUGAGGGACUGGCUGGACUUGAUGGGUGCUGCAGUCCCAGAAUUUGAACCAGAAAAUCGGAAUGCUGGAAAACUUGUAUCAGCACCAGGAGCCGAUACGUACACACUUUUCUGAUGAAAUUGGCAGUGACAACAACAAAUGCGACAUUCAGUAACUGAAUAAUGAGAUCCGUCAGCAUUCAGAAGACCAGUGCCCAACGUUCCUGAACGACCAUCACGUGCUCUUACAAAAUCUGCCCACUCACACAGCAGGAUGCACC